rnacentral:rRNA from 1 species
CCUACGGGAGGCAGCAGUGGGGAAUAUUGCACAAUGGGGGAAACCCUGAUGCAGCGACGUCGCGUGAGUGAUGACGUAUUUCGGUAUGUAAAGCUCUAUCAGCAGGGAAGAAAAUGACGGUACCUGACUAAGAAGCCCCGGCUAACUACGUUCCAGCAGCCGCGGUAAUACGUAGGGGGCAAGCGUUAUCCGGAUUUACUGGGUGUAAAGGGAGCGUAGACGGCGGUACAAGCCAGUUGUGAAAGCCGGGGGCUCAACCGCAGGACUGCAAUUGAAACUGGGCUGCUGGAGUGUAGGAGAGGCAGGCGGAAUUCGUAGUGUAGCGGUGAAAUGCGUAGAUAUUAGGAGGAACACCAGUGGCGAAGGCGGCCUGCUGGACGAUGACUGACGUUGAGGCUCGAAAGCGUGGGGAGCAAACAGGAUUAGAUACCCGUGUAGUC